GUUAAGGUGGCAGAGCCCGGUAACUGCAUAAAACUUAAGCUUUUACUGUCAGAGGUUCAAUUCCUCUCCUUAACA
rnacentral:tRNA from 1 species